CUCCUCCUCCUCUUCCUCCUUUCCGUCUCGUACAGCUCUGAUAGAUGUCCGACCAUGACAGCCUAAAGUGUAGAUCUGAAGCUCCACAGCAGAAACCUUUUAACUGUAUUAAACUGUCACACCACCAUUCUUCAUGCAGCUCACUGACAUCAACGGUUUUAACAUGGAGGCUAGAGGACUAAAUCUCUCUCUGCUGGUUCACCUCGUCUCCCUUUCUGGGUCAUGUGAUCUCUCUCAUGUGGCCUGUUAAAAGUCAUUGCUGAUAUUAAACACCAUGAUGACAUUAAAUACCAUCUUCAACAUAAUUACUGGCAUUUAAAACUAUAGAUUGCUAUUUAGACUACCAGUCUCGGGCUCCUGAAUCUGACGUCAUCAUGUUUAAGAAUCAAGAGAAUUUACUGGCUAAUUGUUGAUGUUUAAAUGACAAGUGUGUGUUUUUAAACCCUGGCUGGUGUUUGUCUUAGCAAACUGAAGAUGUGUCAUGACACUUCCACACACAAAACCUAUGACAAAGAAGGCAUCAUGGUUACAGUCAGCAGCAACCUGGAGACUGCAAACAGCAGCUCUGCCAUCGUCAGAGCAUCCAGGAAAUAUGUCAUCAUCCCCAGGUCGACAGGCAUUGUGUGGUGAUCUCUUGCAUCCAGACUCGGUGCUCACUUGACCUGCAUAGGAAGACUUCUGGUCUUGUAGGAUCAUCUGGAUCAGAGUCUUCCUUGUGGACACAGUGAUGGUCACUUAAACUGAGGAUAGAAUAGAUUAUAGACUGUUCAGGUUCCUUUUGCAACCAUGCAAUCUAAUAAAUAUCACUGUCUUUCUGGAGUCUGGGGACACCGACCUAUAUAUCUUGGUUUGGUCCAAGAUGCUGCAUCAGCAAGUUUGUCAACUGGACACAUACUGCAUUUUUAUCAGGUUUAGGAAGGAAAACAAACAUUCACAGAAGCCCUUACAUAUUGUAUGAGUUCUGCUGACCUGUUCUCCUGCUGUGCUGAGAGACACUUCUGGCCUCAUGGACCCACUUGCGCUGCUGCUGCAUUUUAACUUUGUUUGGAUGUAAUGCAAGAUUUCCCUGCAGGAUAACUGUCCUCACUUUCAGUGACAGGGUGAGGACAUGAAGAUGGAUGGAUGGAUGGAUGGAUGGAUGGAUGGAUGGAAGGAUUUGGUGCUACACAAAUUUGGCUGGCUGUGUGUCAGUGUUUUGCUGCACUAGCUCUGCAUUUACAUUCAAACUAAGGUUUACAA